AUAGAUGUCGUUCAAUGGUAGGACUCCGGUCUCCAAAACCGGUAAUCAGGGUUCAAAUCCUUGCAUCUAUGCCA
rnacentral:tRNA from 1 species